rnacentral:tRNA from 1 species
GGCGAGUUGGGGGAGAGGCUUAACCCAGCUGUCCCGAAAACAGCCGGCCCUGCGGGGCCCCUCCGUUCGAAUCGGAGACUCGCCG